rnacentral:rRNA from 1 species
GAUGAACGCUGGCGGCGUGCCUAAUACAUGCAAGUCGAGCGAACAGACGAGGAGCUUGCUCCUCUGUCGUUAGCGGCGGACGGGUGAGUAACACGUGGAUAACCUACCUAUAAGACUGGGAUAACUUCGGGAAACCGGAGCUAAUACCGGAUAAUAUAUUGAACCGCAUGGUUCAAUAGUGAAAGACGGUUUUGCUGUCACUUAUAGAUGGAUCCGCGCCGCAUUAGCUAGUUGGUAAGGUAACGGCUUACCAAGGCGACGAUGCGUAGCCGACCUGAGAGGGUGAUCGGCCACACUGGAACUGAGACACGGUCCAGACUCCUACGGGAGGCAGCAGUAGGGAAUCUUCCGCAAUGGGCGAAAGCCUGACGGAGCAACGCCGCGUGAGUGAUGAAGGUCUUCGGAUCGUAAAACUCUGUAAUUAGGGAAGAACAAAUGUGUAAGUAACUAUGCACGUCUUGACGGUACCUAAUCAGAAAGCCACGGCUAACUACGUG